AGUUAGUGCUCUUGCAACACUAACUUGUACACUUGGUCAGGUCCGGAAGGAAGCAGCCGCAACAAGAGCUACGUGUGUGCUAGGUAUUGCUAACUGGG
rfam:Enterobacteriaceae bacterium symbiont of Trionymus perrisii isolate HETPER genome assembly, chromosome: I